CUCUGCUGGAGUUUUGUGAGUGAGCCCAGGAUAGGGUCUCUACAGAUUCACCAGUUCUGGAGACAGUUCCUCAAAUGAAGUACAGUUAGGAAAACAAGAUGCUUCAUAUAAGCCAAGCACAUGAGUAGAAGCAGCUUACUAGCUCCAAGGACCUGCUGCAAUGCUUGCAUCAGAAGUUGGAUUUUUCUUCACUCUCCCAAGCAAAGUUCCUGGCAGCAAUGCCAUAUAAGCAAAUCAGCUAUGGGGACAAACAAUCAACAGCAGUUCAGUCAUGAAAGUCAAGUCAAAGAAGCUUGUGUUCCCAAAUCAACACUGUUCUUAGAGGCACCAGAACAGCACCUGAUCUAGCUGUGCCUUCAACCAUCCCCUUUGUCCUUGCCCCACGGUCUCCUGUCCCAGCUGCAGACUUCAUGAAGCUGUGAUAUCUCUGAACACACAGCUACACUCCUUAAUCUCCAAACCAAACACCACCUAAGUACCUGGUUAAAAGGGCAGCAGCCAAGGUCUGGGCUGGAAGAG